CCACCACUCUGUCAAACACACGAACUUUAAAUGUGAGGAUCCUAGGCAUAAACAAGUAGCUCUUAAAAAAAAGGGGAAUAAGUCGAUCGAGCACUUACGAAAUGGCUGAGCAGUACAACAACUUUGUCUCCGACUUUGAACUUUUUGGCACCUUGUCCAACUUCUACAACCUCUCCGGCCACAUCAGUUACUGGUCAUGCAUGACGCGAGAGAUCGAAGAGAAUAAAUAACAGAAUCCUACAAAUCCGUCUACCCACACAACGCCCGAAAUGCGUUCCAUGUACUUGAGGGAAUUUUCUGGGGAAAAGAGGCCGCAGCUCGCCUUUCUGAAUUUUCCAAUCAACUGGAUUGAGACUAGCUGCUUCCAAUUUCAGCAAAACCUCAUUCUUCUUAGGGGCGGGAAUCGGAACCUCAACAUGC